rnacentral:lncRNA from 10 species
ACCUUUUGCAUAAUGCCAGUAGGAGACAUAAACUGUCAAUAAUCACACGGUGGGAGGUAGUAGAAUCAAUUUAAUUCCAGACUAAGGAAUACUCGGUUGCUACUAAUGUACGUGCAAGAUGAUGUUUUAGCAAAAAUUAUUUUUUUCCUAUAUCCUCAGUGUUUCUUCAGUGUAUUCCUUUUUCUCUACUUUCAUUGCCACUGUCUUCAAGAGAACUUUAUUUCCUUCAAGGGAGUCCAUGUUAUUACUUAACAUGGUCCUUAUAUGGGUUUGUAUUCAGUCAGAAUUAUAGCAUGACCAAGCUAGAGGUUCAGUCUUGAGCCUUUUCUGCAUGACAGCAGGAAAUGGCAGUAUGCCUAUAAUAAUGUGCAUGUGUUCCUUCCUCCUGUACCAUUUACAGUUAUUUAAAUGCCAGCUGCUCUGACACAUGCACCAUACUUUGUGCUGAAGAUAAAGAGAAGAUAAAGGCUCACUCUUGCCAUCACAGACAAUGUGGAAGCUGUUAAAUGAGAAUGACCAUAAUACCCCAGAGAACUUCUGUGAGGAUUAAAUGGAUAUGCAAAAGCUCUCGACAUAAUACCUGGCUCAAGGACUCUGUUACACAGAAGGCAAAAGCAUAAGAUUAGAUUUAGCCCAUCCCUUUCCAGACCAUAACUCAAGAGUUGCCAAGAUCUGCCAGUUCUCCUUUGGCCAGCUCUGCUCCCGCGCAGUAAAUCCAGCCUCUGUGAGCAGUACCAUAUCAGGACCACCUGUCAUACCUCACUUCGAUCAUUCUCAUACCAUCAGCCUGACACUGCAUUCUACUCCCUCCCUUUCAAAUCAGCUUACAUCCUACCAUCAAUUAUAUAUAUUCUGUCUCACAAAC